rnacentral:lncRNA from 1 species
CAGAAAAAAAUUAUGAGACUUUGGCCUUGAAAGUCUCAUAGUGAGUGCCUGUCAUGUUAUAACAGGGCAAAAAGUGGCUGCUCUCCUCUACAUUCGGUGGCCUUGGGAACACCAAAGAUGUGGCCUUGGCAACACUUGCACAUCGAGGUCAAGAGGCCAGGAAGGGCAUCCUGCCUUCUAACUCCUUUGAAGUUUACUCAAAAUUCUCAUCCUGAACUGGACUUUUGGACUCAACAACAAAAGGGAUGACGCUGUGUUUCAGAGGAAUUCAUAAGCAGAAUUGAAUUUGUUUUAGUUAACUCCUUAUUUGAUUGGAAUAUUGUCGACUUAACAAAAUAGUAGAAAGAGCAUUGGGCUGAAGUGAGAAGAUUUGAAUUCUAGUCCAAAAUCUGUUACUAACCAGCUCUUU